ensembl:ncRNA F35G2.21 ncRNA
GAACACUGCGCAUGUUUAUAAUACAAAUAUAACCAGAAAAGAGUAAAAGGUAUUAAUCAAAUAAGUUUUUUUUUUCGGAAAAUUGUUCAACUACUCACGAUUUUUAGACUACGAUCAUGAAGUUGGGUAUUUUUACCAGAAUUUUUGAAU